UUUGCUUCUAGCUCUGGCACUUGCCCGAGGCUUUUUUUUUUUUUUAUAGCUAAAGGCCACUGGUCAUUGCUUCCUCUUGGCCCUUCCCUAGCCAUCAGUCUUGCCUGCUGGAAGGGAUGCUCUGUUGCCCGAAAUUGUUCUCAAGUCCGAGCUGGCUGAAGUCCCUCUGUUCUUUUUCAGUGGCUGACAGAUUAAGGGAAAGGAAAAGGCAGCCUGAGAAUGUUAAAGCAAGUCAACUCCAAGUUUAGGAGUCAUUAAGACUUCAGUGGAUUUCCAGAAUCUGCCUUUUUCACAAGCACCCGAGUCUGUGCGGGUUUUGAUGAAUGCUGGACAUCCAUUAUAGAAACACUGUUCUCAGGGAUCACCUAGACUGGAAUAUAGCCCAGGCCAUGGGGUAAACACACUUCCAAGCAUAUAGCUGGAUUCAGGCUACAGGGCGUGGUGUACUCCUCCGGCCAUUCGGAGCUGCCAAGUAUCCUUCAGCACCUCUCAGCUGACACUAAAAUUUUUCAAAAGAAGGAGGUUCUAGGUCUCCUCCUAGUGAAAUGCGUGCUCCAUUCCGUCUUCCAAAAGGAAUCCAGGGGCUCUAAGAACAGCAGGGUUCAUGCAAUGCUUGACUUAGAUUUAAGUGGGUUCACUGGCUGUCAUUUCUGAUUCCAACAACCCAAAUAAGACCCAGGGGAAGUCACAUGAAACGAACCAGAAAGUGAGCAGAAAUGAGCAUGACCGGAACGCUGGGAGGAAGCCCUCUCGUGCUGGAAAUGGAGGAAACGUUUGUGUUGACCUUGCUUUCCUCUCCAGUGCUGAUUAGUUCUAAGUGGUGCUGUUUUUAUUUUUGUGUGCAGUGAAUAUAUUUUGCUUUGAGCCUCAUCUGGCCCUUGGUUUCCCCACCAUGUAAGGCAAAGAAAUGAAAGAAAUCUUUAAAGGAAUAUUUUAGUUCUUAAAAAAACAACUGACUGAGAAGAAAUACACAGUACGGAAGAAGUGGGACGUGAUUGAAUCUCUGCUCUGGAGACAAAGAUGAGUGGUGACUUGUGGAGCAAAUGUGCUGCCAUCAUGUAUUAAAAGUUAAUGUAUAGAGAUUCCCCUGAAUGGACCAUCCACUACGUGUUGGAAAACUAAACCCUUAUUUUUAUAUUACCCUGUAUGGGUCAGGGGCUGCUUUGAACAAAGAAUAAUGAUCAUGUCACGUUUCUUCACAUCCAUUAUAGUGUUCAGCAUGAUGCUGGCCAUCUAGUAAGUAGUCAAAAAGUCAGUGUUAAUUGAUGGGCUUUAAGAAGUAAUUUUGAUGGAGCGAUACCCUCCUGUGAUGGCACGUAGUGAAGUGUUUAACAAGAUUUGUAAGCAAAUGUUUUUCAGAAACCAGUUGCUGACUGUGUUCUCUACGGUGUUCUUUCUGUGAAAGCAGGAGAUACCUAUUCUGUGAUGUGGCCAGCGAAGUGUUAACAGGACAGGCUACGUCUACUGGAUAAUGCCCUGCGGAUGAGACGACGAAGAGACCUGCAGUGUUUCUUCUGAGUAUUGCUGCGCACUUGCAACAUCUGUAGUAACUCUCCAGAGAUACUGGUCCAAUAAGACCCUUCCGAGGCCUCUGCAGGACUGUGCCCGACCACAAGCUGGGCUUCCGAGUCGAAGGAUUAAAUGAGAGCAGUACGGAAGAGUGUGGAAGAGCGAAGGCUCUGGUCCCUCUCACCUCAGAUGGAAUCCCAGCUUUACCAUUUAUUAGCUGUAUGGCUUCAUACAAACUGCUCAACUGGUCCUCACUGAUGUCCUGACCACAGUCUCUCUGAGCAGCCAGACUAUCCAGAACCUGGACAAUUCUGAUGCCUGCUCCUCUUGAGGGCUCUGCUAAGACUGUGGAAGCAACGGAAGUGGGACAGGGUGGCUGUAGCACGCGUGUUUUCCUGCAUAGCUUCUAGCAGCGGACUUCCUAAGAGAGAUGGAGGUUCUUGGAGUCACUGGGUUCCUGCAGCGGGGUCCUCUAAUGAGUCUUGAUCUGCAGUUGGAAAAAUACUGCAAUGUAUCUGCCUCUCCAGCCAUUGGGUUGAUGCUAAAUAACUUGCCCCGGGGAGCUAACCGCAGGUGAGACUCUCUGCUGCAAGAGGCAUCUUCCGGAGGUCAGUUUCUCUUUGGUCUCAGGGAAACAGCCUGAUGUGGCAACACAGGAACUGACUGCAAAACAAGUGUGCAUGAGCCCCCGGCGACGGGCAAGACUCAGUGGGAGAGGCUUGGAUCAUAUGGGUGUUAGCAGAGCCUACCCUUCUCGGACACCACCACAAAGAAUUAUCAGAUCAAAUCUAAUUUGGGUGAGCAGGGAAAAGGCAAAAACAGGAAACUCUGUGGAGUCUUGCCAAACGUGUCAGUAGGAGGAAGAGUCCACAAACUGUCCGCCAGCCUUUCAGAGGGAAGUUAAGAGUCAGGUAAUGUUGGUGGGCACAUAUGGUGUCACUUGGAUUUUUCAGAGCCUCCAAAACCCAAUUACCAUCCCGCUUCUGACUGCAGCUUUCUUGCUCUGUUGUCUAGGGAUCUGGGAAACAGAAUAUUGCAAGCUUGUGUCUGUUUUAGGGGGUUUUUUCUGUGCAUGUCAGAGACCUCUGAAGGAAGGUAGCCCCACGGAGGGAGGGUAUG